rnacentral:lncRNA from 1 species
AGCAGCUGCACAAGUACUAUUGUAGGACCCCAAGGCCCCAGGCCUAACAUUAGGAAAUCUAACCCCUGUGCCCUGAAGCUGCAAGAAGUUCUCUUACCCAACCCCCAUGUCAAAACCCCACCAGCUGCACGUAGCAUUUCAAGUCUUGCACAAUGCCACCACAAGAUGUUCCAUAUAGAUAACCCCGGAGGGGCCAAACUUGAGCAAACAGGGUAAAAAAAAAACAGGAACUGAAAGGACAGGAUGCAAUUUUAAGGUUUUUCCGGGAACAAAAAGUUGAAAAACAAGUUUACCCCCUAGGUGACCCAACUGCUGGAUUCAGAGGAACCAAUAGAAAGGCUGUUGCUGUGCUAAGCUAAGAACUAACCCACCUGCUCCCUAUAAAAGAUCUGUACCCCAAAGCCCGGUGUGCCAGUUCACCGAAGCUCCGGCUGAGGU